rnacentral:rRNA from 1 species
ACACGUAGGGACCAAGCGUUGUCCGGAUUUAUUGGGCGUAAAGAGCUCGUAGGCGGUUCUGUAAGUCGGAUGUGAAAACUCAGGGCUCAACCCUGAGACGCCAUCUGAUACUGCAGUGACUAGAGUCCGGUAGAGGAAGAUGGAAUUCCUGGUGUAGCGGUGGAAUGCGCAGAUAUCAGGAGGAACACCAACGGCGAAGGC